CUAGCAGGACCAGGAAUUUCCAUCAUGAUGCAGACCAGGGGAAGGGCUGGAAUCUUGGAGAGACGAUGAGGAAAACUUGAGGGUUGGCAGAAGAGGGCACAUCUCAAGAACCCAGUGCAGGUCGAUAUAAAAGGGGCUCUGCACUCAGCACCCCAAGGCAACGUCCUCCCACGUGGGUCAGUCACACCCUGCUUGAAGGCCUUCCAUGCGAAGAGAGGCAGCCAGUGAGGCCGUAGGAGGACCAGAAACUGAAGUGCAGUGCAUUUACGGUCAUGGGGACAGGCAGAUUUCUGCGGUUGGCAGGUGGAAGAAAGGAAAACAGAGGCUACAAAGCAGAAGGAGAUUAGCACCUGAAAGGAAUGACCAAAUGGAGGUGUAAAAGAAACAAAACAAGCUGAAGCAUUCAUCUUGGACUGUUGAGGAAUUUGGAAAUGAAGCCGUGCCUGGUGGGACAACAAGAUAUAAGACAGAAGCAACAAGAAAGGAGCCUGGGUUGAAUACUACCGCAAAGUGCCUCAUCACAUAACCCUUCAUGCCUACCUGAACACUUAAAUAAGAUAAAUGUAUUUCUGUGUUGUUUAAGUCACUGUUGUCAUUAGCAGCCAAAACUAACUCCAGCCUCAUACAACUCCCCGGAGCUGUUCUGGCCUGUACAUGUGGCUACUGAGCACUUGAAAUGUGGGCAGUACCAACUGAGAAGUCCACGCUGCAUUUUGACUUCAUACCAAAAAAAAGAAUGUAAGGUAUUGCAUUAAUACUUUUUAUAUUGAGUACCUGUUGAAAUGAGAACAUUUUAAAUACAUUGGGUUAAUCUAUUCUUUUUUUAAGAUAUUACCUCUAGAAAAUUUUAAAUUACGUGUAUAUGGCUCCGCCAUAUUUCUAUGGAACGGUGCUUCCCUGGUGCUGGUCACCUAUGUCCGAACUGAUAAUAUCAAACUAUUGAACCAUCGAAAGCUGAGAGGUGAUCAGAAACUGGGCCCCUACUUACUCGCCAGGGUCCAGACUCGAGCUUUGCGUCUAGCUUUGUCCGUCUGCCUGUCUGUCUGUUUGCUGCUCCCUGCCACCCAUCACCCCA